GUCCCGGCAGCUCACAGCACUCACUUGUCCCCCAUGAAGGCCCCAAAAGCCCCCCAAAAGGCCCCAAAAGGUCCUGGAAGAUCCCCAAAAAGCCCCCCAGAAGGCCCCGAUAGCCCCCCAAAAGGCCCCAAAAGCCCCCCAAAAGGCCCCAGAAGCCCCCAUGAAGGCCCCAAAAGCCCCCCAAAAGGCCCCAAAAGCCCCCCAAAAGGCCCCAAAAGGCCCCAUGAAGGCCCCAGAAGGCCCCCAAAAGUCCCCCAAAAGGCCCCAAAAGGUCCUGGAAGAUCCCCAGAAGGCCCCAAAGCCCCGCGCAGGUCCUGGCAGCUCACAGCACUCACUUGUCCCCCCUGCAGCCCCCCAAAAGCCCCCAUGAAGGCCCCAAAAGCCCCCAUGAAGGCCCCGAUAGCCCCCCAAAAGGCCCCCAAAAGCCCCCCAGAAGCCCCCCAAAAGGCCCCCAAAAGCCCCCCCCAGGUCCUGGCAGCUCACAGCACUCACUUGUCCCCCAAAAGGCCCCAAAAGGUCCUGGAAGAUCCCCAAAAAGCCCCCCAAUAGGUCCCAAAAGCCCCCCUGCAGCCCCCCAAAAGGCCCCAAAAGCCCCCCAAAAGACCCCAGCAGCCCCCCAAAAGGCCCC
ensembl:lncRNA